rnacentral:rRNA from 1 species
AUUGAACGCCGGCGGCAGGCUUAACACAUGCAAGUCGAGCGGGGUGAUGGUGCUUGCACUAUCACUUAGCGGCGGACGGGUGAGUAAUGCUUAGGAAUCUGCCUAUUAGUGGGGGACAACAUCUCGAAAGGGAUGCUAAUACCGCAUACGUCCUACGGGAGAAAGCAGGGGAUCACUUGUGACCUUGCGCUAAUAGAUGAGCCUAAGUCGAAUUAGCUAGUUGGUGGGGUAAAGGCCUACCAAGGCGACGAUCUGUAGCGGGUCUGAGAGGAUGAUCCGCCACACGGGGACUGAGACACGGCCCAGACUCCUACGGGAGGCAGCAGUGGGGAAUAUUGGACAAUGGGGGGAACCCUGAUCCAGCCAUGCCGCGUGUGUGAAGAAGGCCUUAUGGUUGUAAAGCACUUUAAGCGAGGAGGAGGCUCUUUUGGUUAAUACCCAAGAUGAGUGGACGUUACUCGCAGAAUAAGCACCGGCUAACUCUGUGCCAGCAGCCGCCGUAA